CUUGCUAUUAUCGCCCUGCUACGGUUGUUAUUUACUUUGUGGGAUUUAAAAGUGCACAACCCAGCCGGAUAAUCAUUUUACAGCAGCGGAUGAAGAGGGGAGCACAGAGGCAGGGAUGUGAGCCGCAAGACAUCCAGACGGACUUGCUUUUAUGCUUCCAGACUAGAUCCAUUGAAAUUGUAUUUUCUUUAAAAACCAGGGUGCUUCUUUGUCGUCAGGAGGGCUGCAGCGCAAAGCCACUGGCGCUUCACAGACAGCCAGGCGUCGACGGCUCUCCAACUCUGCCGCGUCAAGGGCCGGAAGUGGCGAGGGGAAGCGCAGAUGCAUACUCCACACAGCUGUACGCCUCCAUCCCCUCUUGGCAGCUCCAUCUCCUUCCCCCCUGUCUCUCCUCCCUCUCCCUGGUUGGUUUCCACAGCUGUGGUGAGUGAGGGGCAGAUGACCGGAGAAUUGGCCCCUGGGAGAGUGCUGAGCCAUCCUGGUGCUAUUAGGCUCGUGGCUAAUAAUAGGUGUUUCAGACCAGGGGAAGAUCAAUCAGGGGGAAUCAUGGGGAAUGUUCGGAGCAUCGCUUUUUACACAUCGGCCCAGAUGGAUGAAAUUACACAUGUCAGUUUUUAGUUGCAUUACUCCCAAAUUGGUUGUCUACUCUUUUUUUUACUCUCUCUCCCUCCCUCCCUCGCUCUCUCUCCUUUCUCCUUUCUCUCUCUUUGCCUUCAUUCAUGUGUCAGUGGCCUGCUAAAGGGAUUCAACGGUGAAAUCCCUGUCAUUUUUGUAUUUUCCCUGUUUAGCCCUCAGCCAGAAACUCUGUUGCCUGCAUAUGCACUCAGAAGAAAUUCGUUUUAGACCUAGUCUUAUGGCUCGGGCAAUUUUCAUGUUAAAGGCAAGUGUGGAACUGACAUUGUGUAUGUGCUCUGCAUGUAUUAUAAAACAAUUUGAUGGACUCUCGCAAACACCCAGAGUACAGUCAAAGCGACAAACAGAAAAUGUAUUGUAUGUAAUGUAACUAUUUUGAUUAUUUUGAUUAAUUAUUUCACAGAUUUUUUAAUGCAAAAUGACAGCUGUUCCAAGGUGAGCAUUUGCAGCUUUUGUCUGUUUCAUAUCACAGUAAGCCGAAUAUCUUUCGGGGUAUUUAGACCGUGAACUAGACGUUUUAAGAUAUAACCUUGCAUUCUAGGGAACAUUUCAUAGAAUAGUCCUCGUGUGAAAUACAGCCUUAGAAUUGUAACAUAUUUCUAAUGUUAAGUUGAUUUACACAAAUUUGUUUUAAAAGCAAUUUCAUAAAUGUGUUAAGUACAAUAAUUGUAUUGUCAUUUCAGAAAAAAUCGUGUAUAAUUGUAAUGUAAUUAAAUCUGUCAGGUGCAAAUGAAACCUUUGGUCUGUAUCUCACCGUUUGAAACUGAAUAAAAUUCCCCACACAAUA